rnacentral:rRNA from 1 species
AGUGAACGCUGGCGGCGUGCCUAACACAUGCAAGUCGAGCGGGCUUUUGCAGAUCACCGCAAGAGCUAGCGGCAGACGGGUGAGUAACACGUGAGAAACCUUCCCUCGAAUGGGGAACACCCCCGAGAAAUCGGGGUUAAUACCCCAUAAGACCACGAUCCGGCAUCGGAUUGAGGUCAAAGGCGUAAGUCGUUUGAGGAUGGUCUCGCGUCCUAUCAGCUAGUUGGUGAGGUAACGGCCCACCAAGGCUAUGACGGGUAUCCGGCCUGAAAGGGCGAUCGGACACACUGGAACUGAGACACGGUCCAGACUCCUACGGGAGGCUG